rnacentral:rRNA from 1 species
AGUGAACGCUGGCGGUAGACCUAACACAUGCAAGUCGAACGGCAGCACAGUAAGAGCUUGCUCUUACGGGUGGCGAGUGGCGGACGGGUGAGGAAUACAUCGGAAUCUACUUUUUCGUGGGGGAUAACGUAGGGAAACUUACGCUAAUACCGCAUACGACCUACGGGUGAAAGCAGGGGAUCUUCGGACCUUGCGCGAUUGAAUGAGCCGAUGUCGGAUUAGCUAGUUGGCGGGGUAAAGGCCCACCAAGUCGACGAUCCGUAGCUGGUCUGAGAGGAUGAUCAGCCACACUGGAACUGAGACACGGUCCAGACUCCUACGGGAGGCAGCAGUGGGGAAUAUUGGACAAUGGGCGCAAGCCUGAUCCAGCCAUACCGCGUGGGUGAAGAAGGCCUUCGGGUUGUAAAGCCCUUUUGUUGGGAAAGAAAAGCAGCAGGUUAAUACCCCGCUGUUCUGACGGUACCCAAAGAAUAAGCACCGGCUAACUUCGUG